rnacentral:lncRNA from 1 species
UCCAGUGUGCCAACAUAAAAGGACGUUCUGUGGUGACAGCACAUCGCCAGUCUCCAAGAGCGGCGAACUCAGCUAUGAAGAACUUCACUGUCGUGCUAACGGUGCUUCUGAUUGCAGCUGUGGUGAAUGGACAGAUGUUCCCAGGAAGUGGGAUUCUUCGCCGAGUUCGAGAUCGCAUUUGUAACGGCCGAUUCUGCCGAUAUGGUGAAAGUUGCAUCGAGUCACGCCUUCCGUGUAGAAGGCCUCCCUGCCCGCGGAGGUCUCGAUGUAUCUGAAUUGAAAGAAGGGACUCACGUGCCUGGCAG